CAGCAGCCGCGGUAAUACGUAGGGUGCAAGCGUUAAUCGGAAUUACUGGGCGUAAAGCGUGCGCAGGCGGUUUGUUAAGACAGAUGUGAAAUCCCCGGGCUCAACCUGGGAACUGCAUUUGUGACUGGCAAGCUAGAGUGUGGUAGAGGGGGGUGGAACUCCGCGUGUAGCAGUGAAAUGCGUAGAUAUGCGGAGGAACACCGAUGGCGAAGGCAGCCCCCUGGGCCAACACUGACGCUCAUGCACGAAAGCGUGGGGAGCAAACAGGAUUAGAUACCCCCGUAGUCCCUGUCUCUUAUAC
rnacentral:rRNA from 1 species